CCACUGUGGGAGAGGUUCAAACAUCUCAUCGUAGCUAAUGAAAAAGGUAAAUAAACUUAUCUCUACUCACAAUGCAGUUUCGAAGCCGCACCAAGGAGCAGAAGAGCGAAGAGGAAGAGUGAGAAGCUUUUGUGGCGACACUGAUUGGUACUUGGAGCUGCCCAUAAUUCCAUCCACCCUGACAAAGUGGGGCCUUUGCCCCAGAUCCAGCUGAAGAAAAACGGCGUGAUGCUGCCAACACCCUGCUUCACUGGAGCUCCUGGAUCUUCUUUGGAAGAGUCUCAGUCAUGAAGGUAAAGUGCUCAUUCUUGAGGUGAUGAUCAACCACCUGCUCCUCUCCGAUUGCCAGGUAUGUUUCUUCUUUGUCGUACUUGGGCCAGUGAACCAGACCCUUCCCAUUUGGAGACCUGCAUGCAGAGUUUUAGUUUCUGUUCUUCUCAUGCUGUUUUCAGUCUCAUGUUUUGACCUUGAAUCACUUACCCGGUGCGAGCGAAGUUGGCCCAGUAGCUCAUCACGGUUCUGGCUAGUUGUUCCUCUUCGACCAAACAAGGAUCUGGAGACACAUUAUUUGGCACAUUGACCAAUCCUACAACUGCACUCGCCAAAUGCACACUACAAUAUUAAUAUGUUUUUGAAUGGGCUCACCAGGUAAUGCGACACGUGUCUGUGUGAAACAGAAUCCAAACACUGAAAAGAUUUCAUCUCCGUGGUCACAUCCAACAAAGCUUGGUCUUUUUGACUUCAGUAGAGAUGGGCUGUACCUGUACUCAUAAAAAUACACAGGGGCCCCGGCAUCUGUCGGAAUAUGUUCUAGAGUCACUCAUUGUGGUCAGAGCAGAUAGUGUAUUUCCCAGGACAGAGUAAUACCUCUGUGUGCAUUGGCCACAACAACAGCUGGAAUGUUGAAAAUUGUAUCUCCAAUGUGUUGAGUUAAGGCGUCUCUGUUUUUGAUAUGGUCAUCAGAGGUGACACCAUAUUCCUCCAACAGCAGCUCUCUCACUUCGACCUCAUUAAAUAAACAAAUUCAAGUUUUCAUUCAGAUUCAUUUUGUCAUCCAGAUUCAGGUGCUCUCUCACUUACAUCAGGAAAAAACGUUGACAUGAUGUUUGAAACUUGUUCCCGGUCCAGUCCUUCAGUCCAGUUUGGAGGUGCAAAGAACUAACAAUGAGACCAUAAACAGAUGAAAUGUAUGUCAAACAUGUGGCAUCUUAUGGGCUUCCAGAACAUGGAUGAUGAGAUGUCUAGUUAAUAAUUCUGGUUUAAAUGGAAACAUUAUCGUUUCAGACUUACAUGCAUCAGUAAAUAGCCGCCCUCAUCAUCGGUCACUCCUGUGAUGAACGGCACCUUCUGAAGUUCAUGAUUCUCAAGCAGCUCUUUCACUGGCUUUGUCAAAAAGUGUCCAUCCGUGAUUACGGGAAACCGUAAUGUAGAAUCCUGGGGAGGAAAAUAGUUGUUACAUGAAAAUGGAAAUCAGAAGUUUUGAAUGAUGAAUAUAUUGAAUUAUUGAAGACUUACUUUGACAAGGGUGUUUAUUGUUUCCAUAUCCAGGUUCUUCAUGCACUCUGCUAUCUUCUCUGUGGAUUCAACACUACAUCCAGACAUGUUUGCAACCAUCUAAAAACACAUAUAAAAGCUUCACCGUAUAGCAAUUUGAAACAAAUGAAAAAUGACAUGAAUGUACAGAACCAAUUUUCUAACUAGAGUAUUGAUAACUUGCCUGAGCUGUCGCUAGGGAGUUCUCUUGAACCAUUGCAUACAUUGCAGCAGUGCCACUCUCUGCAAUAGCUUUGUGGAUCAGGCCUUCAGUUAAUGGUGAGAGAAGCUGCUCGAAGAGAUAUGCAAAAGGAUCCUUAUUUUGCCUUCCUCACCACAUAUUAAGAACAUCAGUUUUUUGCAACACAAUCUGAACUUAAAAGCAGCCAGGCUGGAUCUCACAAUGGACCUUACCAAAAGGGACACGCUCACUCCACCAGCAGACUCUCCAAAUAUGGUGACUGAGUUAGAGGCUCCUCCAAAGUUGUGGAUGUGCUCCUGGACCCACUUCAGGGCCUGCACUUGGUCCAGCAUGCCCCAGUUUCCGGCCAUGUGCUCAUCACCAGUGCUGGAUAGGCAAAUUAUUCCACCCAUGUUUUAAAGGCAGAUAUUCAUCGUGCAGUAUUUAUUUAUUUUCAUGACUUACCUUAGAUAGCCAAGGAGUCCCAAGCGGUAUUGUAUUGACACCACAACUACAUUCUCAUAGGCUGCCAGGGCAGAUCCAUCAUACAUUGAAGCUGUGCCCAUUGUUAAGCCUCCUCCAUGGAUCCACAACAUGACCUGUCCAGGCAGAAGAGCAACAUUGUAAAAUAUAAUGUGUGAGGGUUUUUGGACAAAUGGCAGAUAUGUAGCCAAGGGCUUUUACACAGCACCCUGCUCCCUUCUGAAUUGCAAGCAACUGCCUCCUCACUCCGCAGAUGCUUAAACCAACUGGAAACUGUCAGGAAACUGGUUUGUGAUGUUUAAAGCCUCAAAAACAUUGGCUAACCUACCGGAAAUCAUGAUGUGUCACAUGUCCCACUGUUAAUUUUGGUACAGAAAAUCGGAUUAUUGCGUGAGUCAGAUUUUUAAAUACAUGUGAACAGCUACUACUGAAGAGGAAUUUGACUUUUUCAUAGUGCGACUCCAUGACCUGGAUAAUGUGGUUGAUAGCUGGACUAAACUAGCGUGUGACUGAAUAGCUCGGGCUGGGUGAUGUGCAACUGUGCGAGCUUCAGUUACACAGUGGAAGAAAACAAACUCCAAGACAAAUCACGGUCUUAUGAUGUCUAAUGACCUUAUACACAAUGGAGAAGUCAUGUGAGUGUGUGUGUGUGUAACGUGAUGCAGCAUGUUUUUCUCGGUCAUGCAUGUAGUGAACAGAUAACAAACCCGAUAUCAACUGUGUUUUGUAACUUGAGCAAAGUUAGGAAGCUGGUUUGUGAUGUUUAAAGACUCAGAAACAUCGGCUGAUGUGCAGAUUUUUCCAGCAUCGGUUAGUGUAGUUGCUAAGUUAGUCGGACUUUACAUACUCCACAUCUAGCAUUCUUGUAAUACAAAGACAAUAGAGUGAAUAUUUAAUUUUAUUCAGAAACUUAGUUUAAUGGAGACAUCUUCCCAUGGAGGCAGGUUGGCAAUGACGUUGAUUCUUUUUGUUGAUUCUAUAUUCUCUAAAUCUGUAAGUACCGUAAUUUCCGGACUAUAGAGCGCAACAGAAUAUUAGCUGCACCCGCUAAAUUUAAGAAGGAAAAUAGAUCUUGUUCAUACACAAGCCGCACUGGUCUAUAAGUCACAGGUUCAGUGGUGCUGUCUGCACUGUGGACAGGUCAGUGGUGCAUCGGCUUAAAAACACUUUUCAACACGGGCUCCAGCAUCAAGAAACAAGCUGUGUAAUAAGGAGAGUUCUCUUGAUCCAUCCACGCCGCUCUCACAAUAAGUUGAACACAGUGAGAAAGACUACUGAUGAUCGAGAAGGUUUUAAUCAGUACAGAUCCAGACAUCAGAGAUGAUCAAUGAAUUGUCUGGUGAUCUUUCAGUUCCUGGCUACUGCGCUUUGAACAAUGUUGUCUGCCCAGACAGCGAUCACACCCUUUACUGUCCGGCAUUUAUCAUAUUUGUGCGGAGUCGCGCUAUAGAGUACACGUAGCAUCUAGCGCCGAGUCGCCUGAGGCGAGAAGCUCACUCCCUCGGGAGAGUGUCCCGAGACAAGGUGCAGCUCUCCAGACGGGAUCAAGUCUGCAGCCAAAACAUGACACACUUGUGUUUGCGUCAGGCUUUUCAGCCGAACACACUUUGUCUUGGGACGGCGUCUCACAUGUUUUAUUCACAUUAAAGCCUUCAAAAUGUGCUGUUUUUGCCCGCGUGCCCACAGUUCCGACACCACUGCAGGUCUCAGCUGCUUCUUCUCGAUUCCAGACCUCCUGGAGAUCGACUCUCUUGACGGAGCUGUGGACACGCAGGCGAACACAGUGCAUUUUGAGUGUUUCAAAGGUAAAUAAAAAGCUUUUGAUUUCAUCGCCUCUAAUUUAGUCUGUUUUCAGCCUGUAAAAGUCCAUACAUUACAGCCGUGCUGUUGUGUAAGCCGCAGGGCUCAGACCGUGAGAAAAAAGUAGUGGCUUACAGUCCAGAAAUUACGGUAUCUUAUAUGCAGUGUGUUACUUUAGAAAGAUGUCCUUACUGGGAGUUUGGCAUCAUGAGGUCUGGUUGCCGGUGUGUAGAUGUUCAGGUACAGACAGUCUUCCGACACUCCUGGCAGUUCCAUCUGAAGUUGGAAAACCUUUUCAAUAAAUUGUGCGCUGACCUGCCAAUCCUGGACACACCUAAAACAAAAAUAUUUACAAGUGUGACAUAGUCUUGUUUCUCUUUAUAAAAGGCAAUUGUUCCUCACAUAGGAGGCUGUUUGGUGGCAUCUCUUACUCCCUCCCAUCCUUCUGGGUCCUGAGGUGCCGCCAGUCUCAGUGCAGGGCCAACGGGUGGCUUUGCAAAAGGGACACCCAGAAAGGCAUGAACCUUAUUCUCCGUUCCUUUAACGGUCAAUAUGUCACCCCUCACGCUUCCUAGCUUGGUGUGGAC